rnacentral:lncRNA from 10 species
UCAGCCAUUUUCCAGGGAGCCUUAGUUCUUUCUAUUGGAGAGUGGUAUUAGAAACCAAGAUCUGAUGCUGGGUGUGCUCAUGCUACUGGGUUGUCACUGCUCCUAGGCCCUCUCAGCAGACAGAGCUAGUAAAUAAAUGUAUGUAUACUAGGCUAUGUAUACAUACAUAUCUGUAUUUAUUUCUGAAUCUGUAUCAAUAUUAAGGUAAAUGUGUGUUCAAUGCUUAUGUUUCAAACUCUAAUUCAGUACCACAUGGUUCAUUCUAGCCUUCUUCCUGCCUGUGGUUACCUCACUCUCCAAAAAUGAGAAAACUAGUUCCCAUGAUUCACCAUUCAUUUACUUAUUUUUUUAAUCCCAAUAUACAUGUGCAAUGUUUUUUGAAUUGUUAGCUCACACUCUACUGAAUUUCUGUCCUACCUUUUUCUUUUGAAAGUCUUAUUAACAGAAUCUUCUUUUAUUUUUUCUUGAGACAGGGUCUCAUUCUGUCACCCAGGGAGGAGU